GUGCCAGCAGCCGCGGUAAUACGUAGGGGGCAAGCGUUGUCCGGAAUGACUGGGCGUAAAGGGCGCGUAGGCGGCUUUAAAAGUCUGGAGUGAAAGGCCUAUUUUUAAGGUAGGUAUUGCUUUGGAAACUUUAGAGCUUGAGUGCAGGAGAGGAAAGUGGAAUUCCCAGUGUAGCGGUGAAAUGCGUAGAUAUUGGGAGGAACACCAGUGGCGAAGGCGACUUUCUGGACUGUAACUGACGCUGAGGCGCGAAAGCGUGGGGAGCAAACAGGAUUAGAUACCCUGGUAGUCC
rnacentral:rRNA from 1 species